rfam:Ipomoea nil DNA, scaffold: scaffold3056, cultivar: Tokyo-kokei standard.
GCCCGUCUAGCUCAGUCGGUAGAGUGCAAGGCUCUUAACCUUGUGGUCCUGGACUGAAGCCCCAAGGUGGGCG